AGUUCCGUGGGGUAAUGGUAGCCCGACCCAGAUUCUAUCCGUAAGCGGAGAUGCUGGUUCGAAUCCAGCCGGAACUC